GGUGCAAGUGAUGCAUCUGUUAGUGACCAAAGCCUGACUUUUGCUGAUUAGUCAACUGACUGACUGCACC